rnacentral:rRNA from 1 species
GCCGCGGUAAUACGUAGGGUCCAAGCGUUAAUCGGAAGUACUGGGCGUAAAGGGUGUGUAGGCGGAUAUUUAAGUCAGAGGUGAAAUCUCCGGGCUCAACCCGGAAACUGCCUUUGAUACUAUUUAUCUUGAAUUUCGUUGAGGUUGGCGGAAUAUAUCAUGUAGCGGUGAAAUGCAUAGAUAUGAUAUAGAACACCGAUUGCGUAGGCAGCUGGCUGAACGAACAUUGACGCUGAGGCACGAAAGCGUGGGUAGCGAACAG